rnacentral:rRNA from 1 species
CGGAACGUGCCCAUGUCGUGGGGGAUAACGUAUCGAAAGGUACGCUAAUACCGCAUACGUCCUGAGGGAGAAAGCGGGGGACCGUAAGGCCUCGCGCGAUUGGAGCGGCCGAUGUCGGAUUAGCUAGUUGGUGAGGUAAAGGCUCACCAAGGCGACGAUCCGUAGCGGGUCUGAGAGGAUGAUCCGCCACACUGGGACUGAGACACGGCCCAGACUCCUACGGGAGGCAGCAGUGGGGAAUUUUGGACAAUGGGCGCAAGCCUGAUCCAGCCAUGCCGCGUGAGUGAAGAAGGCCUUCGGGUUGUAAAGCUCUUUCGGACGGCGAAGAAAUGGCGCUCUCUAACAUAGGGUGUCGAUGACUGGUACCGUAAGAAGAAGCACCGGCUAACUACGUGCCAGCAGCCGCGGUAAUACGUAGGGUGCGAGCGUUAAUCGGGGAAUUACUGGGGCGUAAAGCGUGCGCAGGCGGUUUUGUAAGACAAGAUGUGAAAUCCCCCGGGCUUAACCUGGGAAACUGCGUUGUUGACCUGCAAGGCUAGGAGUACGGCAGAGGGGGGUGGAAUUCCACGUGUAGCAGUGAAAUGCGUAGAGAUGUGGAGGAACACCGAUGGCGAAGGCAGCCCCACUGGGCCUGUACGGACGCUCAUGCACGAAAGCGUGGGGAGCANACAGGAUUAGAUAACAUGGUAGUCCACGCCCUAAACGAUGUCGACUAGUUGUUCGGAGCAGCAAUGCACUGAGUAACGUAGCUAACGCGUGAAGUCGA